UCCCUGAUGGUCCAGUGAUUAAGACUCUGCAUUUUCCAGUGCAGGGGACACAAGUUUGAUUCCUGAUCAGAGAA
rnacentral:tRNA from 1 species